GAUUCAUGGCUCAGAUUGAACGCUGGCGGCAAGCCUAACACAUGCAAGUCGAACGGUAACAGGAAACAGCUUGCUGUUUCGCUGACGAGUGGCGGACGGGUGAGUAAUGUCUGGGAAACUGCCUGAUGGAGGGGGAUAACUACUGGAAACGGUAGCUAAUACCGCAUAACGUCGCAAGACCAAAGAGGGGGACCUUCGGGCCUCUUGCCAUCGGAUGUGCCCAGAUGGGAUUAGCUAGUAGGUGGGG
rnacentral:rRNA from 1 species